rnacentral:rRNA from 1 species
UACGUAGGGGGCUAGCGUUGUCCGGAAUCACUGGGCGUAAAGGGCGCGUAGGUGGUUUGAUAAGGGUGUGGUGAAAGUCCGGAGCUCAACUCCGGAUCUGCCGUGCCGACUGUCAAACUCGAGGGCUGUAGAGGCAGACGGAAUUCCGGGUGUAGCGGUGGAAUGCGUAGAGAUCCGGAGGAAGACCGGUGGCGAAGGCGGUCUGCUGGGCAGUUUCUGACACUGAGGCGCGACAGCGUGGGGAGCAAACAGG